GCCAGGAGUAACAAAACUAAAAGCACAGUUGAAUUUCUGAAGAUCGGCUAUUUUGACCUUAAAUUUGGAAGUCACUUUGAAUUCUCACCUUAGUAAAUAACACUGCCGGUAUAAGUUUUAAGAAAUAUAAACAAAACUGCUGGUAUGCCACUUAAAUCCUCACCAUAAUAUCCGAGUGACACCGAUUCACUCAUUAAUGGUGUCUCAGAAAGGAAUAAUCUCACAGUUAUUCACUGAAGUGAGAAUUCAAGGUCAAAACUAACCAAAACGGAAACAUUCUCAAAGUCAGCUGUGCUUUCAGUUCAUCUGUUCUGGCUGUGAAAUUCACCUUGAA